rnacentral:misc_RNA from 1 species
CAACAAACGCGAAAAGCUGCAAAUCCUAGCGCUGGCUUAUCCCUGCACAUUACAACUAUCUUAACUGUGUCUGAACUGGCGUGAGUAAGCGUUUGGAUUGCGUUCGGCUAGGAGCAAACGGCAGCGCGUGUUAAGAAAUUAUAAUAAGAAACAGUGAGAACACAGCUAAAGAUAUGUAAAGAAAGAGUUCAUUAUCAAAAGUGACUACGAAAAGUGAACAGCAAAUGCAAGUGCAAGUGCAAGCGCAAGUGCAGUGAACCAGUCUCAGCGGACGGCGCCCUUGAACGUAAAUGCGUGCAGGAAUUUGCGUACGCAGAAACGCUAGCGGCAGCGGUGAAAAGCGUAGCGACAAAAUAGUAGUAGAUAUUGUAGUCGAGUGAGCAGCUCGGUUGGCCAAAAUGACGUGCUCGUUAAUUAAUUAACUAAUUAAGAAGUGAAUGAAAGAGAGUGAAAUAGGUGUAGUCCGAGGCCACAAACAAGAACUCCCAAAUCCGUAUUAAUAUGACAUCAUACGCAAAUGACACAACGGCAACGGCGGCAGCCACAACAACAACAACAACAACAGCAGCAGCAAGAAAUGCAGGAGGCGAACCGCCAGCAGCAGCCGCAACGCCAGCGUCUGCAGUCGGCGCAACUGCUGUGGUGCAGCUCAACAAGCAAAUGUCCAGCCACAACAACAACCAUAAUAACAGUGCUUACGAAGAGGACGACAACAACAGCUUGGAUGGGCGCGAGAAAGCCGACACGACGCCUGAGAACAUCAAGAAGAUUGCCGAGAUCAUAAACGACAAGGAGGCAGCGGCAGCGGCAGCGGCAGCGGCAGCAGCAGCGACGCCAAGCUCACUCUCGCCGCGACUUCAGCAGCAGCAGCAGCAGCAGCAGCAUGCGUCGAGCUUUGUAGGACUUGGCGCUGCCAUCGAUGAGUCAAACACAAAGUUCUGCCUUGGCAAGCCGCCGCCAUCGCCAGCCGAAAAAGCGGCUGUGCUGAGCCGAGCGAAUCACCAACAGAACAGCUGCAGCAGCAGCAGCGUCGGCAACAAAGAGAUCUCCGCUGCGGAGGAUGCGGAGGACGAGUCGACGGCAUCGAAUUCAACGGCAACAAAGCAAUCGCUGGCCUUCACCAUUGACCACUUUGACGCCUCGGAGAACGACGCGGCAGCGCAGGCCGCACGCUAUAAGAACAUGAUGGAGCGCUUUCAGAGUCGCCACAGGCGCGGCGCCUCCAUGUCCAAGCUGGAGAGCGAGCACGGCAGCACGGCGACCAGUGGCAACGGGCGCCACUCGCAGCGCAGCAGCCUUGACGCCAGCAGCGUUGCCGAUGAUGAUGCUUCAAUGACGGCGGCCACGCCCACGGCCGAAACGCCCGCCGUGAAGUUGCGUGUGCGCGAGCGCAGUGCCUCGCGUGUAAGAGACGCCUCCAAGCGGCACAGCUGGUCGCCGCGCAGCUCGGCCACAACAGAGCCAGCCGCUGGCCGCGCGUCCAACCAAAAGCCAAAGUCCACACAGCCAGCGGCGCCGCCGAAGGGCGCUGCCAAUCUGCUGGCGAAUCGCACCACACAGUUCACGCCGCGCUCGACGGCCAUGCAAAUGGCGCUGCAGCAGGUGGAGCUGCUGUGUCCGCAUCCGCCACUGGACGACAUGAAGGCAGCGGCGGGGGAGGAGGACGCGGUCAGCGAGGCGGGCACCUACACUCUAGAUGGCGAUAACUACACAGAGGAGCAGAAGGAUCUCAUGAACAUCGAUCGGAAUGCAGCCGCGGCUGCGGCAGCUGCCGCGGCCAAGCUGCGACCCAAGCAGCUGGCGCUGAAGCCCAGCCGUCCCAGCAAUGUGCUCGAAGUAAACUACUACCACGAGACGCCGCAGCAGGAGCAGAAGGGCAGCAGCACCAAUGCCAAUGCGACGGGCGCCUAUUUGGAGCAGCUCAAGUCGCGUGUGCUGCGGCCGCCUCAAACGCCUCCAACGCCGUCGUCGCCUCGAUCGCCGGCCGCCGAUGUGGGCUGCUUCACCAGCGUCACCACGAGCGGUGUGCUGGCCAAGCAGCGUGCCCUCGACACGCAUCCCAAGCUGACGCGCCACUCGCACAGUCUGUCCACCUCGCAGAUCGACAGCUCCGAGUACGUCAGCAACGAGGCGAAGUUGCGUCAUGCGCAGGCCAUGGCCGGCAGCGCUACAGAUCGCCAGAAGGCCGAGUACCGCCUGAAUGUGUUCACCACCAGCAACACACAGCAGCAGCAGCAUCAGCUGAAGGAACAGCUGCAUCAACUGCCCGAGACGCCAACGACGCCCACAGAGGCAGCACUGCUGCAGUCGGCGCCGACCAAGCAGGACUGGAUACAGGAGUGGGCGCGCAAUGCGCGUGCCCGCAGCCUGGCGCAGGAUGUGAGCAGCAGUUCCGCCAGCCGGAGAAAGCAGCAGCAGGCGCAGGCACAGUUGAUGACACGCAGCUACAACUGCUCGGACACAGGCGCGGACUCGCUGACGGAUGACAGUCUCAGCCUGUACAAUCAGCAGCAGCGUCAAUAUGCGGCGGCUGCCAAACUCAAUCGCAACCUGGCCGAGCGUUAUCGACUGCUGGGCGACUGUGACUACGCGAGCGAUCCGGCGCUGUGCAGCCAUGCUGGCCAGGUGGGUGGCGAGCCAUAUAAGCCACCGAAGAGCCCCAGUAAAAUACCCUCGCCGCUGCACACGCUGGGACGUGCGCGCAGUGCCAGCCGCUCCAGGCCGGCCAUGGAGCAGCUGCCCUCGCAGACACCGUCGUCGCGUCGCAGCUCGGUUAAGUCGCCGGCGGCACAGUGCAGUCCACAGCACAGCCUGGAAACGGGCUAUCAUCGAUCGCCGCUGCAUCGUGCACUCAUGACCAGCAGCAUCAACGAGGCCCAGCUUCAGCUGUUGACCAGCGGCGAGUAUUUGCUGAAGCAGCUGCAUCGACGCAAGAACUCGCUGGACGAUGUGGAGCACGAGCACGGCCAUGAGCUGCCGUCUUCGAUGUGCGGCGUAUCUGGCUCCAUAUCGCCACUGCGUCGAUCCAGCUCCUUCCAGCAGCAGCAGCGACCGCUGCAGUCUGUGCGACGGGCGCGUCCCAACUUUCAGAAUCUGUACACGCCGCCCGCGGCACGGCCCAUGCCGCAGCAACAGCUGCAGCUGCAGCUGCAGUUAAAGAAAUCCGCCAGCAGCAACAACUUUGAGCAGUCGUACAGCGACUACGACAACGAGCUACAGUACUAUAUAAAUGAUGAGGACGAGCUGGGUACCACAGGUCCCUACUACUCCAGCGGCGAUGAGGACGACGACAUGGAGCAGCAGUCGGCGGCACAGCAAGCGGACUCUACGGUGCCGCUGAGCAACACGCGCCUCAACAAGGCGCUGCUCAUGCGCAUCGAACGCAGCAAACAGCGCGUAGCGGGCAGUGGACCAGCAACUGGAACUGGAACUGGCCAGGGGCAAACGCCAUCCAAGCCCAGCUCAGCGCCCGCGGGCAAGCUGAGUGCAGCUGCCCAGGCGGCAGCCGGACUGAUCGCCUGCCCCAAUACGCCGGAGUUGCCGCGUCGCGGCAUCAAAAGCGCUCACGCACCACGCACAGCUUCCGGCUGCGGGCCCAAGUUGCGUCAGUCCAUGCCGCGCGAGACGAGUCUGAGCCGUUUGGCGCAGCAGGUGCCCAGCAGUCUGGCCAAUGCAAAGAAGCAGCUGCUGCAAACGGCCAAUGCGGGCAAUGUCCGGGAUCAGCAGCAGCGUGUGCAGCCCAAGUACCUGGACAUAUCCAAGUACAAGUCGGCGCAGUCCAACAAUUUUCUGCGCAAAAAUGAUGCCAAGAGCACGCUAAAGCCUGCCGAGCAAAUGAAGCGCAGCCCCAGCGCCUCCUCCAUGGGCCUAAGUCGAACCGAGGGCACACGCGCCAGCAAUCGCAGCGUGCGCUCAAACACCUCUGUGAUGAACAGCAGCACCACAUCGUUGGGUGGCGCCACAGGCAUGCGCGCCUCAUCCGCCGUGCGACGCGACGCCUCAGUGAACAAGCAGAAGGAGGCCGAAAUGGUCAUGUGGAAGCGACGCUCCACAUACGAUCCAAUGAAGGCAGCUGCCGAGGACAGACGCCGCAAGGAGGAAGCGCGCCGUGCCCAGACCCAGGCCCAGGCUCAGGCUCAGCGUCAGUUCAACGAUAUGGCCAACGAUGUGCCAUUCGAAAGGUCUCGUACAGAUGUUUCAGUAAGCCCCCCUCUCUCUCUCUGAGCUCAAUAUACUAAUCUGCUUUAGUCAGAACAUUUAGAUUCAAAUUUAAUAUGUGGUUCCUAAGACCAGUCUCUUAGCGGAAUAUAUGUGCAUUUAGUGUGCAGCGACCGGCCAACAAUCUGACCAUCACGGGCAGCAUAAACUACAGUCCAAGAAAUUCAGUGGAAAACGAUGCCU